rnacentral:rRNA from 1 species
GGUAAUGCCGGAUGCUCCAGUUGAUCGCAUGGUCUUCUGGGAAAGCCUUUGCGGCAUGGGAUGGGGUCGCGUCCUAUCAGCUUGAUGGCGGGGUAACGGCCCACCAUGGCUUCGACGGGUAGCCGGCCUGAGAGGGCGACCGGCCACAUUGGGACUGAGAUACGGCCCAGACUCCUACGGGAGGCAGCAGUGGGGAAUAUUGCACAAUGGGCGCAAGCCUGAUGCAGCGACGCCGCGUGAGGGAUGGAGGCCUUCGGGUUGUAAACCUCUUUUGUUAGGGAGCAAGGCAUUUUGUGUUGAGUGUACCUUUCGAAUAAGCACCGGCUAACUACGUGCCAGCAGCCGCGGUAAUACGUAGGGUGCAAGCGUUAUCCGGAAUUAUUGGGCGUAAAGGGCUCGUAGGCGGUUCGUCGCGUCCGGUGUGAAAGUCCAUCGCUUAACGGUGGAUCCGCGCCGGGUACGGGCGGGCUUGAGUGCGGUAGGGGAGACUGGAAUUCCCGGUGUAACGGUGGAAUGUGUAGAUAUCG